GGUAGCUAAAUGCGGAAGAGAUAAGUGCUGAAAGCAUCUAAGCACGAAACUUGCCCCGAGAUGAGUUCUCCCUGACUCCUUGAGGGUCCUGAAGGAACGUUGAAGACGACGACGUUGAUAGGCCGGGUGUGUAAGCGCAGCGAUGCGUUGAGCUAACUGGUACUAAUGAACCGUGAGGCUUAACCUUACAACGCCGAAGGUGUUU
rnacentral:rRNA from 1 species